AUACUUACCUAGACUAGGUCAAUGGAUGAUCAAGAAGGCUCAUGGCCUAGGAAAGUGACCUCCAUUGAACUUAAGAUGGGUAUUUUCCUAAGGUCUUCCCAAGUGGUGGUGCUUACGUCAUAAUUUGUGACUGUGGGGGUUUGUGUUCACGCGACCUCUCU